CUUUUCAUGAUUUUUAUAUGAAGUAUAACCUGCCCAAUGACACUUGUUUAAUGGCCGCGGUAUUUUGACCGUGCGAAGGUAGCAUAAUCAUUAGUCUUUUAAUUGGGGGCUAGAAUGAAUGGUUGGACGAGGAAUAGACUGUCUUUAGUUAAUUAAUGUAUAAUUUUACUUUAAAGUGAAAAGGCUUUAUUUUUUUAAGGGGACGAUAAGACCCUAUAGAUCUUUAUAUUAUUUUAAUGAUGUUUUGGUUAGUAGUAUAAUUAUAUAUAUUAUUUAAUAAUAUUUCGUUGGGGUGAUGGGAAGAUAAUAAUUAGCUCUUUUUUAUUUAAUAUUCAAUAAUUUUUGUUAUUUGGGAUCCAUUUUUAGUGAUUUAAAGAAUAAGUUACCUUAGGGAUAACAGCGUAAUCUUUCUUGAGAGAUCUUAUCGACAGGAGGGGUUGCGA
rnacentral:rRNA from 1 species